rnacentral:rRNA from 1 species
GAAACAGCUCAUACAUCUAAGGAAGGCAGCAGGCGCGGAAAUUGCCCAAUGUAUUCGUUACGAGGCAGUGACAAGAAAUGAAGGGUACUUUUGUACACCAUCUAGGGCCUGUUAUAUCUAAGCUAACCGGUUAUUCGUGGGAAAGCUCGGUGCCAGCAGCCGCGGUAAUUCCGACACGGAGAGUAUUCUAUUGUGUUGCUGCAGUUAAAAAGUUCGUAGUUUAUUUUCUUUUUCACUAUAAGUAAAUCUAAGUGUUUAUAACUACUUAACUGUUUUUAUAGUAUGAAAUUAUAAUGCGGUAUUUGGCGUAGUUUGGGGUACUCGAUAGGGACAGGUGAAAUAGGAUGAUCUAUCGAAGACCAACGGUAGCGGAGGCUCCCAACGCAGUCUAAGUAUCACGAUCAAGAACUAAAGUCAGGGGAUAGACGACGAUUAGAAACCGUUUUAUUCCUGACCCUAAACGAUGUCGCCUAGCUGAU